rnacentral:rRNA from 1 species
AAUGGACGAAAGUCUGACGGAGCAACGCCGCGUGAGCGAUGAAGGCCUUCGGGUCGUAAAGCUCUGUUGUUAGGGAAGAACAAGUACGAGAGUAACUGCUCGUACCUUGACGGUACCUAACCAGAAAGCCCCGGCUAACUACGUGCCAGCAGCCGCGGUAAUACGUAGGGGGCAAGCGUUGUCCGGAAUUAUUGGGCGUAAAGGGCUCGUAGGCGGUUUCUUAAGUCUGAUGUGAAAGCCCACAGCUCAACUGUGGAGGGUCAUUGGAAACUGGGGAACUUGAGUGCAGAAGAGGAGAGUGGAAUUCCACGUGUAGCGGUGAAAUGCGUAGAUAUGUGGAGGAACACCAGUGGCGAAGGCGACUCUCUGGUCUGUAACUGACGCUGAGGAGCGAAAGCGUGGGGAGCAAACAGGAUUAGAUACCCUGGUAGUCCACGCCGUAAACGAUGAGUGCUAGGUGUUAGGGGGUUUCCGCCCCUUAGUGCUGAAGUUAACGCAUUAAGCACUCCGCCUGGGGAGUACGGCCGCAAGGCUGAAACUCAAAAGAAUUGACGGGGGCCCGCACAAGCGGUGGAGCAUGUGGUUUAAUUCGAA